GCCAUCGGGUUACGACAAUUGGUGCCUCAACGCGGGCUCAGUAAAGUAACGCGACACUGAGGUCGGGUUACGACAGCUGUUAGCUAUUCAAUAUAUCUGAAAGAUAUUUUUACUUACAGAAGAGAUAGAGAACAAGCAAUUCUAUUAUUAAUGCUGAAUCUAAUGUGCAUCUCAAAUUGGCUAAGAUGAGAACUUUUCUCCUCCAUUCAACAGACACUACGUGAGUGUUGGCUGACAAUUACGUCCAGCACUGGGGACACAGUUGUCAGCAGGCAGUACUUUCUUCCCUCAGGGAUCUCACAUUUUGGUGGAAGGAGACAAAAACUGAACAACUAAGCCAAUACAUCAUUUGGACUAUCUUCUAACUGGGAAGUGUGGAAAAGUCCCUCGACUCUGCACGUUCUUCUCAUUUCCUGCGUCUCAGUAGUAUGCACACGCGCACAAUGAGUCAUGGGCUUCCGAAGGUUCUACCCUCUGACAAUCCAGUUCAAUCUCGGCGUCAGUUCGGCGGACAUCAGAUAUGUCCUUGAGGAUCGUCUUUUCUGGCCCCAGGUGGCCACCGCUGACCUCCAUUGCCUAUUGGACAAGUGCAAACACCAUUCAGUGAGGCCGCCAGGGGGCAGUGCGAAGUUGUCUUUGCACCUUGUGGCUCAAAGUGUGGUCUGUAGGCUAGCUGCAAACCCACCACCUGGGAACUUGUAAAACAACAACAAUAAUAAUAAAUAAUAAAAAGUCACGUUCUCUGGGUCACCCCAGACCUGCUGAA